rnacentral:lncRNA from 1 species
AAUAUGUUGACCUUUAACCAAUGUGCUUAAACUAUUGACCUGCAAUCAUGUGUGCUAUAAAAAGAACAAAGUAAGGUACACGCUGUCUUGUGAUAACCUUCGUGUAUUGCCCUACAUAAGGCCAGUUGACCUGUUAGCCUGUCCGCUUGUGGAAAUUUCCACUGGUUGACAUCUAUACAUGCAUGACGCAAUCAAUGGCUUUAUCAAUCUAGAGAAAUUCAAAUAAAAUAUAUUUAUUAUACAUCUCUGUAUCAUAUUAUACAAAC